rnacentral:lncRNA from 1 species
AAGCAAAGGAGAGGGAAGCUGGAAGCACCUUUGGCCCGGGACAGAAAUCUGGAGAGCUUGGCUACCUCCAUCCUCCUCAGGCCGGAGCAGGCUUCCUGAGAGAGUCCAGGUCGUAGGAGUUUUACGACUUAGAAAAGCGGGCUGCAGAUUCCUUCCUGGGUGUUUGGUUCAAGCCUUGGCUCCAGCCUCACUCUCAGUCUUCCCGGGAGUUCGUGGGAUUUGGACCUUAGAUUAUUAGUAUUAUUUUGAGGGCCUCCUGUGUGUAAGCACUGGUUGUGCGCAGAUGGCUGUGCAGAGGGCCAUGAGGUAGAGGCUGGGGAAAUGAGGGCUUGGAGGUGCUUGAGGUAUGGUCUUUACCUACGUGAAAUGUUGGAGGUAAGCCUAUGUUUUCUUGGAUGUGAAACUAGGGCACUGGGUUGCUCUUAGGUA